ensembl:lncRNA
UCAUGCUUAAAUGUUGUACUUUUGCUUGUUCUUUACCUGUUGGAAGCAUAUCCGGAUCACUUUCAUUGAACUGCUAGACUUGAAUCAGUAUAAUUUUGGAGCUUAUAAGAGCUGUUAGCUGUGCAAGACUGGAGGAUACAGCGAUGGUUUAGGGGUGACUAAAUGAGAAAGAUUUUAGAGAACUAUGCUUCUUUUUCCAGGGAGCUAAAAAAGAAGAUGCAUGAGGCACAACCAAUAAUAUGUCAUUGUAUCCACACCCCUCCCCUCCCCCUGCAUCUACCGCUCCGAUUUGACCUGCUCCAACCCAUCUAUCUACUUAACCUGACUAAGAAAGGGUAAAAACGCCAAGGGAACAUAAAGAGCAUCUGGAAAUAUUAAGGCCAGAGUGAAUCUUCGCCUGCUUGAUCCCUCACAGGCAUCAUAAGUGUGGAGAUUCAGUCCGAGGGUGUCUGUGGAUCACAUGGAUCACACGCAAUGAUGCCAUUUCUGCUGUCUAUAGGCACCAUGCAGUGGCCAGAAUCUGCUCAAUCUCAUAACCAUUCUGGAGGUGAUUGUUGGGAUUAGACUGUCAGCAAAAUCUGUUAAUGGUGUCCAAUGGUGUUCUGGUAGUAGGGGAAGGUGCCAGAUAACCUUCAGAGCACUGCCAAGGUACCCUUGAGCAAGGUGCAGAACUGACAAAUGCUCAUAUAGGGCCUUGAACUGGAGACUCAUCCAGGGGUGGACACCUGCCUUCACUCACUGUGUACCCUCCCGCGAUAAAGCCGUUAAGAUGAGACACAGGUUGGGUUAGAAAAUGUUCUUUAUAUGCUGUAGAUUUUACUGUGGUGAAUAAAGUUUUUGCUUCUUCAUUUGGGCUUUUCUUAAUUAUUUUAAGUGUCACGUAAGCAGAAUGAUGUUUAUGUUAGACUGUACACAGCGCGUGAAUGCAGCCUUGCUAAAUUUGAAUGUUGCAUGUUCAGACUUACAUAAGCAUUUUCAAACAGUGUCUCUGUGUGUGUGUGUGUGCACGUGUGUGCGCCCGUAAAGGUGUGUGUUAGCAGUUAGAGCGUGGGAAUAUGGUGAAGGAUUUCUGUGGUAUUUAAAUGUUUGUUAUUAGAUAUUACCACAAGGGACCUUGACCAAACCCCCAGAUCUUCCUCCUCGUCUUCCUCUAAUAACAGAAAAGCCCAAGAAUCGCUUGAGGUGCGUAAAACUAUUGUUUAAAAAAAAAAAAGUCAAAGAAAUUUGGGGUCAUGCUGUAUAUAUGGGUGUAGGGUGAUUCUGAGGCGAACACUUCAGUAAAUAAAUAGUUAAAAUGUUUUAAUGUAAUUGGUUUUAUUUUGUGGACAGAAAUUUUUUAUAAAAGUUGUUUCACUCCCCUUAUUUUGAUGUAUUUUUCUGUGUAUUUUGAUGUGUUUCAAUGAUUUGAUCCAACCCCUAAACCUGCGUUUGCAUGGAUCAAAACCUUUUAAACUAACAUGACACUGCUCUCCAGUCCAGUUCUUCUGUCCUUAGCAGCUUAUCCAGAAUUUGAAUCUUGAAGGGGGGGUGUGUUUGAAUAAUCCCUGAUAAUUAAUUAAUGAAAG